UGGACAGCAGGCUUCUCCCUCUGGUCCAGCUACAGUUAGUUGUUCACUGGGAGAAUAAUUCUGAGCAUAUGCAGCAGAUUCAUCUUGCAGGAGUGCAAGCUCUCGAUUUCCUCGCUUCCAAUCGAUUGAUAAGAAGCAUUCAACCUUGGAUGUGAUCAAACCAACGCACUAACCCACCAACGGAGUCAAUCAGGCCCUUAUCCAGCACCUGGCACAUUGUCAGUCUAUUGUGUGAAUGAAAUCAUCUUUUAUGAGGCCGUUUUUGCUCAAGAGUCUCCAACUUUAAGAAGUGAAAGCUUGUACAUAACUGUUUUCUGAGCAUGGACCAGGCACUGGUCUAGUUCUGACGUGUAUUAGCCUAUUCUCCUUCAAAAAUCUGAGGAGGUGGAGAUUUGGAGGAAAAUAUAACCUGUUUUUGUGGAUGACUGACCUCCUUGGGCCUUUGGAUUUGGCAAAGGGAGGUGAAGACCCCAUUCUGGAAGAAAGAAGGUCCAGACUUGAACUCCAAGACAUUAAAAUGAAACAGGUUGUUUUCAUUGCAGAUG